AAGUGGGGAUGACGUCAAUCAUCAUGCCCCUUAUGACCUGGGCUACACACGUGCUACAAUGGUUGGUACAACGAGUUGCGAGUCGGUGACGGCGAGCUAAUCUCUUAAAGCCAAUCUCAGUUCGGAUUGUAGGCUGCAACUCGCCUACAUGAAGUCGGAAUCGCUAGUAAUCGCGGAUCAGCACGCCGCGGUGAAUACGUUCCCGGGCCUU
rnacentral:rRNA from 1 species